UACGUAGGCAGCGAGCGUUGUUCGGAGUUACUGGGCGUAAAGCGUGCGUAGGCGGUUGUCUAAGUUUGGUGUGAAAUCUCCCGGCUUAACUGGGAGGGUGCGCCGAAAACUGGGUGACUGGAGUGUCGGAGAGGUAAGCGGAAUUCCUGGUGUAGCGGUGAAACGCGUAGAGAUCAGGAGGAACACCUGUGGUGUAGACAGCUUACUGGACGAUAACUGACGCUGAGGCACGAAAGCGUGGGUAGCAAACAGG
rnacentral:rRNA from 1 species